CCUGAAUCAGAUCAUGGGGCAGCUGGGAGGGGGAAUGUCAAGGACAUCGGGAAGGACAUUGAAGCCGGGGAGUUGAGUGGGUAGCCUCAACCAGGGAGGCCAGAUGGAGCAAAGGAGUCAUGGGAGGCUGAGAAGAAGACCCCGGAGAUCUGGAGAGCUCAUGCCACAUCUUGAAGGACCAGCCAGGAUGCACUCCGCUUCCUUCAAAUUACCCCGACCCCUGUGACUUGAGUUUGCCCCCACUGGCCUGCAGAUAAGGAAACUGGGGCCCAGAGAGGUGAUGCGAUGCGAGCAGGGAAUGCAACUACUCCCUCAGCCUUGGCUGAACACCGUGCCUACCCCAGGCGAGAAGAUUGUCUUCUUCCACUUGGCUCCCUCUACUCUGCUCCUCAGCUUAAGAGGUUUACAGAGGAGACAACCACAGCCCAAAGAGAUUAUCUGAGACGUUAUGACUCCAUGCUCCGCUCUCAGAGAAGUCAAAGCCCAUGAUUUUCGAGGAUGCCUUCCAUCUGUGGGGAACACAAGGAUCCCAUGCAGGAAACAAUGAGAGAACAGCACAACAUGCACAGUACCACCCCAGGAGGGCCUGCUGUGUUGGCUGGACCAGGAUUGGACACCUGAACCAACUGGAGCUGAUCACAUUCUCCCACCCAGGACGUGGCACUAAGAGAGGCUCGUUCAGUCUGAGUCUGUCUCUUACACGGAGAUGAUGUAAACUAAGGAGCUAUAUGGUAGCCUUCUCUUGCUUACUAAGUAGACUGGGAAGCAUGAAAGUUCUGCAGAGAAAGAAGAAGGAACCAGAGACACUGGAUUAAGACAUCUGGGUUAGUUUUUUUGUUCCCAGUUGCAGCCCAUUUCUGAGGCGCAGUCUCAUUCCUUCCCGUAGGUAUGUCUUCCGCUUUCAACAGUUAUCCACUGAGCGCCCCUGUGCCAAACGUGAGGGUCUAAGCACUUGGUCUAAGUGGUGGAAAAAAAUAGACAUAAUCCCUGCCCUCAUAGAGUAUGUA
rnacentral:lncRNA from 1 species